CGUCAGUGAAGUCAUCUCUAAAAACACGAAGAUGUAACAGUUUCAUUUCAACUGGCUGAGCUUGUUAAGUGGAAACAGAAUUUUUCUUUACCUUUCCAGAUUUGGACAUCUUCUUCAAGCUUUUGGUACACUGGCGUGGCGGACCAGACAAAGAAGCCUCCCGGCCUCAAGACACGAAAAUUGCUCAUAGACGUCGCGUUUACAGUCAAUGAGAUCAAAAGACCAAACCUUCUGCAUGCCAUGGAACCCGACAUCGUGCACAGUGGACCAGAUCGAAGACCCUGCUUGGAAACGGGAGUCUCAUGGAGCCCAUAACAGCUGAAAUUGCCGGAAUUCCCCUCUCCAGUGCGAACUGCACCUGGGCCUCGUGCUCAUCCUUCGGCGCGAACGACAUUGUGAGGACAUCUCUCUCAAAAAGGUGUCUCAUCUGAUACUUGAAAUGACACGGAGAUGAGAGAAAGGACUUACAGUCUGGAGGAAAUCGAUGUAAUGGAGCGCGCCAUGGAUGAACUGGGUACCUCCUCCAGGGAAGGUUAGGAAUUCUCCCAUGACCUUGACC